UAAUAAUAAUAAUAAUAAAAUUUUACUUAGGCUUAUUGCACUUGUCUUUAAUCCAUUGGAAGCCAGCAGUAGCACUUGAUUUUACCUUUUUAACCCCAGUUGAAGCAACAUAUUUAGUUUUUCCUAAAGUAUCUCCAACUUUACUUGAAAUCUUAGAACUAUUAUUAUUUCCAGUUUUCUUGUCAAAACUUGUGUAACUUGCUGGUUCUGGAUCCCAUUGAUCUGCCCAUGAUGUCUCGUUCGAGUUAUACGCGGUGUAACUGUUCUUUCCAGACAUAUUAAAUCACGACUUCACAAAUAAAAUAAUCGAACUUUGGAUCGAAAUUGAUAUGAAGAGUUUGAAGAAAUAGAAGGAUUGUGAAAUUAUUAUUAUUUUUUUGUAUAGGUUGAAUUGAAUAAAAU
rnacentral:misc_RNA from 1 species